UACGGAGGGGGGCUAGCGUUGUUCGGAUUCAUUGGGCGUAAAGGGUGCGUAGGCGGUCGCGCAAGUCGGAUGUGAAAAUCUCAGGGCUCAACCCUGAAACUGCAUUCGAUACUGCGUGGCUAGAGUGCUGGAGAGGAGACUGGAAUUUACGGUGUAGCAGUGAAAUGCGUAGAUAUCGUAAGGAAGACCAGUGGCGAAGGCGAGUCUCUGGGACAGCAACUGACGCUGAGGCACGAAGGCCAGGGGAGCAAACGGG
rnacentral:rRNA from 1 species